rnacentral:rRNA from 1 species
AACGAACGCUGGCGGCAGGCUUAACACAUGCAAGUCGAGCGCCCCGCAAGGGGAGCGGCAGACGGGCGAGUAACGCGUGGGAACGUGCCCUUUGGUUCGGAACAACUCCGGGAAACUGGAGCUAAUACCGGAUAAGCCCUUCGGGGGAAAGAUUUAUCGCCAAAGGAUCGGCCCGCGUCUGAUUAGCUAGUUGGUGAGGUAAUGGCUCACCAAGGCGACGAUCAGUAGCUGGUCUGAGAGGAUGAUCAGCCACACUGGGACUGAGACACGGCCCAGACUCCUACGGGAGGCAGCAGUGGGGAAUAUUGGACAAUGGGCGCAAGCCUGAUCCAGCCAUGCCGCGUGAGUGAUGAAGGCCUUGGGGUUGUAAAGCUCUUUUGUCCGGGAAGAUAAUGACUGUACCGGAAGAAUAAGCCCCGGCUAACUUCGUGCCAGCAGCCGCGGUAACAC